rnacentral:lncRNA from 1 species
UUGGCUUACACUCGCCACAAGCUACAUCAGAGUCACAUCAGUACAUUACAUAAUCAUCAAGAGUAAGAGCAGGGUCCGAAUACGGACGAAAACAAACGACAAAAGAAGAACGACGUCCAUCCUUGCUAUCCCAGGCUGCCGGCCUGGAACCCAUCCUAGAUCGAUGAAGAAGAAGAAGAAGAAGAAGCAACUCCAAAUGAACAAUCAACGCGCUCGCGUCAAGUAACCUUAACCUGUACCUGCAACUG